AGUGGUGCUGUUGCUUUGGGGGCUGUGUUGUGAGUCCUUCUGGCUGAAGGUGUUUUUGAGGUAGGCUGGGCAUGGUCUGUGUGGCAGGCUGACCUGCACUGCUCUGUCUGGGCCUCUUGCUGUCUUCUGUCUUCACUCUGCUCAGAAGAACUGCACCCAGGGGCUCUGUGUGUUGGGAGCAAUGUGAGCCCUGCUGGACAUGGAGUGGUGCUGGAGGCCACGGGUGCUGAGGACCACACAGCUGGGGACAUGAGGAUUGCUGCAGGCUGCCCGGUGUGAGCCUGUGAGGAUUGCAGGGCUGUGCCCACCUGUGGGGGUGACUGCACCACAGGUAGUGCUGCCAUGGACUCUGUGAGCUCACAGCCUGCAGGUUGGCUGGGUGGGGACUGCGCCCAUAGGGCCAUCCCCAGCUCUGCCCAUUGCAGGUCAGGACCUGCUCUGUCUGCUCCUCCUGGGUGCCAGUGUAGCCAUCGUUCUGCCUCAUCCAGACCUUCUGACCUCCUCUUGCUGCAUCUUGAGAACCUCUGUGGAACCUGGAGCACCCGAGGGCUUGGCACAGAGCCUGUGGGACUGCAGAGCCUGGGCUCCGGAUGGAAGUGGGCUGAGGUCGCUGGUGUGGUCUGUGCUGGGGCCAAUGCAUUGCAGGCAUCUGCUUUGACUUGGGUGAGUGGGACAGCCUCCAGUACGACUGCUCAAGGUCACCAAACCAGGAGGUGUUUUGGGGUGUUGCUGGCACACAUCAGCGUGCAGAGCUGUUCCUUCGUGCUGCUUGGCCCGAGUGUGAGGUGCCCCUGUAAAGGAGCCCCUUGGAGGGGGCUGAGGUCUGGGGCUGUGGCUGGUCCUGGCCCAUCCCAAUUAGCAAAGAUGUACCUUGAACGUGGUUUACAGACAGGAGAGCCCAGCCCAUACUGAAGAGCCAACAGAUGGGGUCUGGUCCCUGUCUCAUCCUUGUGGCCUUCUGAGCGUGACAGCCCUUCUCCUGCUCCCACUGUGGCAUCUUCCUGCCCAGCCACGAUCCUUCAGCAAUGAAACCCAGCAAGAUGUGCUUCUCCUGCUGCCGCCCCUCCUUAUGCCCAGCUGGAGCUGAGCUCUUCUUCCCACAGGUACAGGGAGUGCUGUGGCUCCCUGGGCUCUGUGUGCCCCUGGGAGAGUCGUGGCCACGUUCCGUGGGGCAAGGAGGCGGGCAGGGUGAUGCCCUCAUGCCCUAAGCCAGCGAGCUGGGUGCAGGGCUGGAGCACGCCCCUGAGGAGGACAACCCAUAACACGUGCUACCCCUGGAGAGCCAAACCCUGGUGCAACUCUCCCUGUAGCUCCCAUGAUGGGGGACAGCUGCUGUCCCAAGGCUGCUGUGCUGAUGCACGAUAGGCCGUGAUGGGCUCUGCUUUCCUCGUGCCCAGCAUAAGGGCAGAGUGUGGGGCACAUCCACCCCCAGGGUGACGGAUGGCCGUCCCUCUGCUGUCUGUCCCAGGCUCCUGGCCGCAGUGCCACCACAGUGCACGGUGAGGUACAGCCCUGGGCCACCAGCACUGUGUGUACAUUGCACAGUCUGGGGAAAUACUGCUGUGUUUAUUGCAGUGUUGCAGCACCAUCUAGUGCUGCUGCCCGGGGAAGCCGGACACCCUGGAGCUCCCACGGAGGUUACUGCAGCACCGUGGGGACAGGACGUGCUGGAUGGUGUCCCUUGGGUCGUGCUGAGGCUGUGCCACUGAGACCGGGGAUGUGGGUGGCUCUGCGCUGGUGAGCUGAGGACUGGGAUAGGUGAGUGUUUGGUAUGGCCACGUCCCACUGACAGCAGCCUCAGAACCACGGGGUUUUCUUGCCUAAAUCCCACACCAGGCAUCCUUAGCACCCUAUAGGGUGUCUCCUGGCCAGGAGGGGACUUGGUGCCACUGGGUGCCCCUGCUCUGUGCUUGGAGACCUCUGCAAGGAUGCUGGGAUGCAUAAAGGGUGCAGACAUCCCCAGCGCCUGGACAGGAUCAUGCACCCUGCCCAUGUGAGUGCCGAGCCCAAACACGGGCUGCACCCAAGUCCUGCCUCGCCGAGGGUCCAGCAGUCGGAGGUUUCCGUCAGGUGGACUUCGGGCACAUUGGGUUGAAAGCAAGGCCUUUGGCUGCCGAGCUGCACCAAGUCACUGGGCAGCCCCCUCCCCAAACGAUACAAGGUGUUGCUGGCUCUUCCCACAGACUGCCCAGGAGUGGGAUUUCCCUGCCUCGAAAGAAGACAGAGGGACCCAAACCUCCCCAGCCUGUGCCAGCUGCCACAGAGGGAACACCGCUAUUGCUGGAUGUCAUCCCUCAGCGAGGUGUCAUUGAGAGAGCUGCUGUGUAACAAUAAUAACGCUCUUCUCAUAGCGAUUAAUGAUCCCGCUUUCGACUCAGCCAGGAGAAUUGGGCUUUUACCUCCCACCCACGCACUGAAUGGCUGAAUUUGGGAUCGGAAAUGAUGCGCUUCAAUUCCCUGCAUCUCUCCUGAAAAUCUCAAGCGUGAGCACAGGAUGGGCUGAGCCAGGCAUCGAGUGAUCGUAAAGUGGUGGUUGUGAGCAGAGGCCGAAGAUAAACUCUUCCCAAGAGUCACACUGGCUACAACUGCAGAGCCCUGUUCUGCUGCUGGUGUGAGUGGUAACAGAGUGCGCUGCCAGGCAUUCCUGUAGUGGAAAGAAGAACACACAGAAUCAACAUUGCUUCCCUUCUUUGGACGGUAGGAAUGUUUUAAUUGAGAAAUUUGUUUUAAUUACAUUAGGUGAUAUCACAGUCUAUUUUACAAGUUCAGGGUAAGAGGAAGCGUGGACCGGUUACACAGAAAUCCAGUGAAAGGAUAAAAACCUACAACAUGAGAAAACGAAAAGGUUAACUUAAUGCCUCAAAAAGGAAACGCGUUGAGUUUGGUGUGAGUGGAAUGGGAGGUUUUUUAACAGGAUCCAUAGAAG